rnacentral:misc_RNA from 1 species
GUGAAUCAUCGAAUUUUUGAACGCAAAUUGCACUCUCUGGUAUUCCGGAGAGUAUGCCUGUUUGAGGGUCAGUAAAUUCAUAAACCGGAGUGUUUGCUGCCUUUUGUGGUGACGUACCGGAUUUGGGUUGUCCUGUUUUCGGCUUCGUGACCUAAAAUCUUGCAUGAUUUUUUCCAACGCUUUUAAAUGAUAUUACGUACGUUUGCGAUAUCGAAUACUAG